UACCGGCGGCUCGAGUGGUGGCCGCUUUUACUGGGCUUAAAGGGUCCGUAGCUUGAUUCAUGGGUCCCUUGAGAAAUCCCUCGGCUUAACUGAUGGGCGUUCAGGGGAAACUGUGUAUCUAGGGACCGGGAGAGGUGAGAGGUACUGCCGGGGUAGGAGUGAAAUCCUGUAAUCCCGGUGGGACGACCUAUGGCGAAGGCAUCUCACCAGAACGGCUCCGACAGUGAGGGACGAAAGCUGGGGGA
rnacentral:rRNA from 1 species